UUGCUCUUCAACGAGGAAUCCCUAGUAAGCGCAAGUCAUCAGCUUGCGUUGAUUACGUCCCUGCCCUUUGUACACACCGCCCGUCGCUACUACCGAUUGAAUGGCUCAGUGAGGCGUCCGGACUGGCCCAGAGAGGUGGGCAACUACCACUCAGGGCCGGAAAGCUCUCCAAACUCGGUCAUUUAGAGGAAGUAAAAGUCGUAACAAGGUCUCCGUUGGUGAACCAGCGGAGGGAUCAUUACCGAGUUUACAACUCCCAAACCCCUGUGAACAUACCUUUAAUGUUGCCUCGGCGGAUCAGCCCGCGCCCCGUAAAACGGGACGGCCCGCCAGAGGACCCAAACUCUAAUGUUUCUUAUUGUAACUUCUGAGUAAAACAAACAAAUAAAUCAAAACUUUCAACAACGGAUCUCUUGGUUCUGGCAUCGAUGAAGAACGCAGCAAAAUGCGAUAAGUAAUGUGAAUUGCAGAAUUCAGUGAAUCAUCGAAUCUUUGAACGCACAUUGCGCCCGCUGGUAUUCCGGCGGGCAUGCCUGUUCGAGCGUCAUUUCAACCCUCAAGCCCCCGGGUUUGGUGUUGGGGAUCGGCUCUGCCCUUCUGGGCGGUGCCGCCCCCGAAAUACAUUGGCGGUCUCGCUGCAGCCUCCAUUGCGUAGUAGCUAACACCUCGCAACUGGAACGCGGCGCGGCCAUGCCGUAAAACCCCAACUUCUGAAUGUUGACCUCGGAUCAGGUAGGAAUACCCGCUGAGCUUAAGCAUAUCAAUAAGCGGAGGA
rnacentral:rRNA from 1 species